GGGAGAUUUGGAAGCGCUUUCUGGGGCUGCCUCACUUCCUCAAGUCCCGCGGUCACCACGGAGGACCCGCCCAUGCCCGGGGCUUUCAGAACCUCUCUGUUGAUUCCUGUUGGCUGUUUUUCUCCGGCUCGCUGCCUCCCCUCCCCUGCCAACGCUGCCAUCCCCGGGCUCAUUUGCAUUUGUCCCCAGGCGGCACCGAGGACUGGUCAGUGGGUCCUGGUUCGGCUCGUCCGCUCUGUGAGUGGUCACCCCUGGGCCAGCGCUGGCCGGGGGCUCUCGGCUCUGCUGGCCUUCGCCCGUGCCUGCUGACCCAGAAGGACUCAGAGAGGAGGGCGUUAGCAGAAUCCCGGCGAAGAAAGAAGCCCUUCGAGGGAAGAGAUGGAGAAUCCCAGAAUCUCUGCGGCGGGGCUGGAAACAGCGGGAAGAGCUCUGCAUUUGGAGCAUGCGCUCUGCCAGUCACUCUGUUGUGUGGUCCUUCCUAUGCGCUGGAUCUUGGAGCUUAUCACUCCUGAAAAUCUUUUGCCUUUAACACCACGGAAUUCAAUACUUCAAUUUCUGAAGACACUUUCCUAGACUGCUGGUUUCAUAAGAAUGUUUAUAUGAAAUAACAGAUAGCAUGGCCAUGGCCAUGUAGAUUACAGAUGUGUAACAGCUGUGAGCAAUUAACAAAGAUGCAAAGGCAGAAAAUAUUGUCUGAUGUUUAUUUUUAAUAAAGUUUUCAAAUUGUU